CGGGGUGGAGUAAUGUCUGGGAAACUGCCUGAUGGAGGGGGAUAACUGCUGGAAACGGUAGCUAAUACCGCAUAACGUCGCAAGACCAAAGAGGGGGACCUUCGGGCCUCUUGCCAUCGGAUGUGCCCAGAUGGGAUUAGCUAGUAGGUGGGGUAACGGCUCACCUAGGCGACGAUCCCUAGCUGGUCUGAGAGGAUGGCCAGCCACACUGGAACUGAGACACGGUUCAG
rnacentral:rRNA from 1 species